UUUUAUCAGCUGCUGGAGAAUAGACGCGCCGAUUUGAAUUUAGUCGCAGCCUAGUCGGCCGUUGGAACAGACGGUUGAGAGGAGCAGAGCACCUCCUGGCAACAAAGAUCUACAAAGUCGUUCGACAAUUUACUAGUUUGUGUAGAAAAAGUGUACAUCGAUCAACAAAAUUCACACAUUUAAGAAGUGUACAUUAUUUGAAAAUUUGUCUUCGAAAAAUUAUCUUUGUGUACACAUUCUCCUCCGAUGUCUACAUCUUCAUCUAGUGAUUGCUGUCGAUUGAAGUUUGAAGUUCUACGAGCCAACUAAAUUCAUUCUUAUGCAGUGACGAUUGUUUGUUAUCUCAACUAGCGUUAAAUUGCAUAACGAUUGUAAAUAUAUUCUUUUGAAAAAUGGGUAGAUCGCGCGAGGGUACACCCAAACCAAAUAGUGAUACCGGUGAUAUUAUCUACACGGUGGAGUCUGCUGUCUCAAGUUCUUCAGCGGCUGAGAGGACUGUUUCACCCACCGAUAAGACGGAUUACAAGAUACGGUGGAAGAGGACUACCAAACACUAGGCGGUGGGAGCGAGGAGAGAGGCUGGUAUAUCCCCCGGCCAGCACUCUGUCGCAAUUCAACCACUUGCACCUGCCAGACUGCCCGGUCCAUUCAGACUGUCACUGACUGGCUGUCACCCACACCUUCUAGCAAUUCCAGCACACAGAGCGGCUCUUCAGGGUCCCUGUUGCUGACUGCAGCCAACCUGGCCGCACUGCGGAUAGAGACGACAUCUGCCGGACACCGUAGCGGCGGCAAGGACUUGGAUGCGGCGUCGGUGGCCUCCUCGACGCACUUCACCGUCGUCAACGGAAUGCCUCACUGCCGACGCAAGGCGCCCUCGCACGGCUUCUGCCGCAAGCACCAGCUCACCACCAUAGUCGUCACUACCUGCGGACUCUUCAUGAUCGCACUACUACUUGCCAUCUACUGGAUUGACCAGCGAGCGCAGAGUAUACAGCGACUAUCGUAAACCUAGGCCAGUAGUGAGAACAAGUCCAAGAAUACUCGCUGAAAGCAGUAUUACAACGGAGGUGAACUCCAAGUAUUUUAUAGUUAACAGACUGCAUAUGAAUUAUGUCAGUAAACUAUAAUUUAUUGUGAUAAAAAGGAAGUGAUAGAAUGAUUAUUUCAAAAGAGAUAGUCCAAUUAGUGAAAUGCUUUGUUAGAAACAAAAUCUAGAUGUAUAGUUUUUCAAUUUAAUAAUUUAAUUAAUAUAUUAUUUAAUCAAAAAUGCGAUAAAAGCAUGCAUUUUUGAGAUCUUAAGUGUCUAAUACAAGUAUUCAAGUGAAGAUGAAAUUUGAUUAAUUUUAUACGGCAUAGGAUAUUCCCUGACCGAGCACAAUUCCCAUACGAGUUUUGAAAACUUAUUCAAGUUGCUGAUUUUUGUAUAAAUACCAUCGUUAUUGGAGUUCUUGAAUCUUGAGUGUAGAAUUAAAUCGAAAUGUAUUUAAAAAUUAUUGAGUACUUUCAGUAGUUAACAGAAAUAUGUGAGUAGACCUUAUUAAUUUAAGAGCUUUGAUACGAGAAAUUUUUCUAUACGUUAUGUGUCGAUUGAUGUUGCUCCUGAAGGAAUUCCUUUCAUUUAAUGGAUUGAGGUUGAAAUAAUAAAUGAAUAAUUUAUAUGAAUUCAGACAAUGAUAUUCAUGAACGAUUUUAUUUUUGCAAUGCCUCAUGAAAUUGGAAAUGCAAGAACAUUGCACUCAUACUAGUGGAAGUAGCGUGCAUCAGUUCAUUUGAACCAUAAUAUUUAGCAGUAACUGGAAUUAGGCCCUAUCAAUUUCGACAAAAUGUAUAUUAACUCGUUGGUGAGAAAAGGAAAUAAGUGCCUGUGCCAAUAUUUAUUUAAUUUAUAAUAGACUAAAUGUUAAAAAAUACUCAGAAUAUGGUACUUAGUCUGUGAUGUUAAGAUUUGAAGAGAAGCAGAGCUGUAAACUUGAUGGUAUUAUUUUUAUAUUAUAUUUAUAAUAUGGUUAAACACUAUAAAGAUUUCAUGAUCGUGCAAAAGAAUUAUGUAAAAGCAGAAAUUGGAAUUCUGAGUGUGAAAAUGAUGAGAAUAGAUUAUUUGAAAAUUGAUUUGUAACAUUAUUAAUUGGAAGGCUUUAUUAUUUAUUUUGAAGUGUCAUACAUAUUUGUAAAUGAAUUAAAAUCGAUUCGAAGUGGUA